rnacentral:rRNA from 1 species
UACAGAGGUCACAAGCGUUGUUCGGAUUCACUGGGCGUAAAGGGUGCGUAGGCGGUCGGGUAAGUCUGAUGUGAAAUCUCACAGCUUAACUGUGAAACUGCAUUGGAUACUAUCCGGCUUGAGGAAUGGAGGGGAGACUGGAAUACUUGGUGUAGCAGUGAAAUGCGUAGAUAUCAAGUGGAACACCAGUGGCGAAGGCGAGUCUCUGGACAUUUCCUGACGCUGAGGCACGAAAGCCAGGGGAGCAAACGGG